GAUGAACGCUAGCUACAGGCUUAACACAUGCAAGUCGAGGGGCAGCAUUAUCGAAGCUUGCUUUGAUAGAUGGCGACUGGCGCACGGGUGAGUAACGCGUAUCCAACCUUCCCCAUAGUCAGGAAUAGCCCGGCGAAAGUCGAAUUAAUGCCUGAUGUUUUCCACGGACGGCAUCUGAUGUGGAACAAAGAUUCAUCGCUAUGGGAUGGGGAUGCGUCUGAUUAGCUUGUUGGCGGGGUAACGGCCCACCAAGGCGACGAUCAGUAGGGGUUCUGAGAGGAAGGUCCCCCACAUUGGAACUGAGACACGGUCCAAAACUCCUACGGGAGGCAGCAGUGAGGAAUAUUGGUCAAUGGGCGAGAGCCUGAACCAGCCAAGUAGCGUGCAGGGACGACGGCCCCUACGGGUUGUAAACUGCUUUUAUAGGGGGAUAAAAGUGUGCCACGUGUGGCAUAUUGCAGGUACCCUAUGAAUAAGGACCGGCUAAUUCCGUGCCAG
rnacentral:rRNA from 1 species